rnacentral:rRNA from 1 species
ACGCUCGACACCUACGGGAGGAGCAGUGGGGAAUAUUGCACAAUGGGGGAAACCCUGAUGCAGCGACGCCGCGUGAGCGAAGAAGUAUUUCGGUAUGUAAAGCUCUAUCAGCAGGAAAGAAGAAAGACGGUACCUGACUAAGAAGCCCCGGCUAACUACGUGCCUGCAGCCGCGGUAAUCUGAGCGGGCUGGCAAGGC